rnacentral:tRNA from 1 species
GGUUAUAGCUCAGUGGUAGAGUGCUUGCCUAGCAUGUGUGAGGCACUGGGUUCAAUUCUCAGCACCA